rnacentral:lncRNA from 1 species
AUUCGGUAAGAUCAGCUCUCAGCGGUAGCCAGCCAUCAGUUGACAGGCUUUCCUGUCCUCCCCUCGGUGUCCUGGGAUCUCUGUUAGCAGUUCUGACGCCACAGCCGUAAUUGACUGGUGGGCUUGGCUGGCGGUGAUUAAUGGUCAGGUUACAGAUCUGGGCUUAGAAAUCCAAAGCCAGGGUUGGGGAUUUAGCUCAGUGGUAGAGUGCUUGCUAGGCAAGCGCAAGGCCCUGGGUUCAGUCCCCAGCUCCAAAAGAAAAAAAAAAGAAAUCCAAAGCCAGUGCUCUCUUGCUGGGGUCGCUGGCUGUUCCUAGGUGACCACUUAACAUUCUCAAAUGGGCAGAGUGCAGCCUGGAGGCAGUGCACACACUCCUCGCCGGCUGGCACUGAACUUCAUCUACACCAAAGCUUCCAGCUAAAGGUCUGGUUGAUCAUUGGCAGGAAGUGCACCACCCACGGCUGCCCGCCAGGUCGGACAUUCCACCGGCUCCAUUGGUCUUGUUUUUAAUGUAUUUCUUAUAACUCGGCUUUGUACAUGUAAUGCUUUUCUUGGGUCUUGUGCUGAGGUGUGAAGGGAGCCUGACCUAGAAAUGGAUGUUGAGAAAGUUAGCAUUCUAGAAAGCUUAGGGAUUAGGUAUUCGGGUGACAGCUCAGUGCCAUCAUCUAGCUAGCCAGCGUCAGGAUUUGAGGUGCUUCUAAGGUGAGGUAAAGACACUCAGACCCAGGAGUGUAGAGCCAAGAGCCUCCACACCUAGGCGCUAUUGUUAUUUCUCAGUACGUCAGGACCUCAUCAGACUUCUUUUAUUCUGCCUGGGAGGCCUUGUAAUGUAGGCUGGGCCACUUAAUGCCCACUUGAAGCCUAGAACUUGUGGCAUUUCAAACUCAGCCUGAAGUUAGAAGCAAGCCUUCCUCUGCUGACAAGAGGCCAGACUUCCCUGGAGGGGCCCAGACAUCUGGCUUUGCCACAGCUGCUCUUUCACUGAGAAGCUCAAGGUACCGUGGAGCUGAGCACUCUGACUCCAAGGCAUUCCCAGCCCCACUCUUUCCCUGGGGCUUGAGUGUCUUUGAGGACAGUGCAAUCUCGAGCUAGACGAGGACACCACGAACCAAGUGCAGCCCCAGAGCCUACAGUCUCAGAGCGUCUUGUCACCCUCUCCCAACAGAGCUGUCCAGUUCCCCCCCAGGACCCUACCACCAGGAGCCUUACAUCUCUAAACCAGAGGAGCGGUUCAAGGCCCCGCCCAUCCUCCCGCCUCACCUGCUGCAGGUCAUCUUGAACAAGGACACGGGCAUCUCUUGUGAUCCAGCGCUGCUUCCGGAGCCCAACCACGUCAUGCUGAACCACCUCUAUGCACUCUCUAUCAAGGAUGGAGUGAUGGUGCUCAGUGCGACCCAUCGGUACAAGAAAAAGUACGUCACCACCCUCCUCUACAAGCCCAUAUGAGAGGAUGAGCCAGCCGUGGGCCACGGGACAGCAGGCGGGCGGCGCUGGGCUCUCCGUGUGCAUGCGCAUCCUCACUCCGGGACAUCUCACCCCCACAUAGUCCUCCUUGAAGGUCUGUCCAGGCACAGCCAGAAAUCGGAUGGACGGCAGCCCGUGGUCCCAGCACCGCAGGCAGUGCGCCAGGCUCUAGUGCUCUAAGCAUCAUCCCUCUGCUGGCCCGAGAUGUCUACAGCCAGACCUGAAUGCUGGUUCCUGCUAGAAAACCUAGGACAGGAACUGAAGUCACCAAAGCCCUCAUCAUCCCUGCUGAAGCCUGGCUUGGAAGAAAGCAGUGCUCGGUCUUGCCUGUCCUUCCGAAUCACAGCAGUAGAUUGUAGACUCCAUGGAAUUUCAGUGUCCAAUUUCCAGAUGCAGCUUCGCAAUCGAUUCCUGACACUGUGCACUGAGACCUUCUUAACCAGAGUGGCUGGCUGUCCACUCUCACUUAAGGCAAUAAGUCACCAGGACGAGACUAUAGGUCAUGUGACUACUGAGCAAUAAUCGUUCUCAAACAGACAUCAGAAACCACUGCCAUU